rnacentral:snoRNA from 1 species
CGGCUGUAGCAACAUUGAAAACUCAGGAAGCGAUAUGGCUGUGUGCGAUUUCUUUCUUUACGCAUACGUUUACCGCGCUUCCGACAUUU